rnacentral:tRNA from 1 species
CAUCCAGAAGGUGGAAUCGAACCACUCUGCUUUUAAAUGGCUACAGGUUUGAAGCCUGCACCUCAAACCUCCGAAGUUCAUCU